rnacentral:rRNA from 1 species
AUACGGAGGGUGCAAGCGUUACUCGGAAUCACUGGGCGUAAAGCGCGCGCAGGCGGUCUUUUAAGUUGGAUGUGAAAGCCUACGGCUCAACCGUCGAACUGCAUCCAAAACUAUUAGACUAGAGUGUGGGAGAGGAAGAUGGAAUUAGUUGUGUAGGGGUAAAAUCCGUAGAGAUAACUAGGAAUACCAAAAGCGAAGGCAAUCUUCUGGAACACUACUGACGCUGAGGCGCGAAAGCGUGGGGAGCAAACAGGAUUAGAAACCCUAGUAGUCC